AGUUAGUGAACUUGUAAAGUGUAUACUUUGAAAGUAUAAAAAAGAGGUAAAAUCCUCUACUAGCUU
rnacentral:tRNA from 1 species